rnacentral:tRNA from 1 species
GUUUAUGUAGUUUAAAUAAAACAUUACAUUUUCAAUGUAAAAAAAGACUUAGUCUCUUAAAUA